rnacentral:rRNA from 1 species
UACGUAGGAGGCAAGCGUUGUCCGGAAUUACUGGGUGUAAAGCGCGUGUAGGCGGCAGGCCAAGUCUGUGGUGAAAUCGCUCGGCUCAACUGGGCGGGGUCCAUGGAAACUGGUCAGCUGGAGGACGGUAGAGGUGAGUGGAAUUCCCGGUGUAGUGGUGGAAUGCGUAGAUAUCGGGAGGAACACCAGUGGCGAAGGCGGCUACCUGGACCGGUUCUGACACUGAGGAGCGAAAGCGUGGGAGCGAUCCGG